UACCACUUCCUCUCUGGAAUCUCUAUCUGCUGAAACAACCCACUCGGUCUCUGGUGCUCGUACUACACAUGCCGGCAGUUAAGAAAUCUAGCUACAAAUCCAACCAUUUCCUUCUAUAUCCACCUCUAUCAAUAGUGUUUCCUCAAGUCCUGAUACAUUUUCGCGGCACUCGAAUGGAUGGAAUACCCCUAACUAUGGGCCUCCUCUAGAAUUAGCUCCCGUAGCCCAUCGAUAUUGGGUAUACAAACCCGGCCCUGCAUCCUCAGUACUCCGUCCUCACCAAUGGUCGUAUCUCUGGCAUCACCAUGCUGAACCCUGUCCUUAAGGACAAGCAAAUAAAGGUCAUCAGACUGUCCCUCCCUGAUAUAAUUAAAUAAUGAAGACAGAGAAACCACGCAAGCUAGAACCCACUGGGCUCCGAAUUAUCCAAUCUCACAAAUUGGCUGGCUAAUGCCUAAACAUCCAUCGCCAUAGGACUUUCCUGUCACGCCCUAACCUUGAGAGGUGCAAUCGACGCUCAGUCGAGUGACCCCAACCAAGCAAGCCUUAUCACACACUGCCUACCCUACUGUUUAUUAUUAAGUUAAC
rnacentral:lncRNA from 1 species